GAGCCGCUCGCCCAAUACCGGGGUAUAGAAGGCCCGGUUCACUCUUAAUCUCUAGGUUCCAGGUUCGAGUCCUGGGCGGCUCA
rnacentral:tRNA from 1 species